rnacentral:rRNA from 1 species
GACGAACGCUGGCGGCGUGCUUAACACAUGCAAGUCGAGCGGUAAGGCCCUUUCGGGGUACGACGAGCGGCGAACGGGUGAGUAACACGUGGGUGACCUGCCCUUAGCUCUGGGAUAAGCCUGGGAAACUGGGUCUAAUACCGGAUAUGACUCCAUGACGCAUGUUGUGGGGUGGAAAGCCUUGUGCGGCUAGGGAUGGGCCCGCGGCCUAUCAGCUUGUGGUGGGGUGAUGGCCUACCAAGGCGACGACGGGUAGCCGGCCUGAGAGGGCGACCGGCCACACUGGGACUGAGACACGGCCCAGACU